rnacentral:rRNA from 1 species
UCGAUUUGGAGUUUGUUGCCCUGAGUGAUGGGCUCCGAAGCUAACGCGAUAAAUCGACCGCCUGGGGAGUACGGCCGCAAGGUUAAAACUCAAAUGAAUUGACGGGGGCCCGCACAAGCGGUGGAGCAUGUGGUUUAAUUCGAUGCAACGCGAAGAACCUUACCUACUCUUGACAUCCAGAGAACUUUCCAGAGAUGGAUUGGUGCCUUCGGGAACUCUGAGACAGGUGCUGCAUGGCUGUCGUCAGCUCGUGUUGUGAAAUGUUGGGUUAAGUCCCGCAACGAGCGCAACCCUUAUCCUUUGUUGCCAGCGGUUCGGCCGGGAACUCAAAGGAGACUGCCAGUGAUAAACUGGAGGAAGGUGGGGAUGACGUCAAGUCAUCAUGGCCCUUACGAGUAGGGCUACACACGUGCUACAAUGGCGUAUACAAAGAGAAGCGACCUCGCGAGAGCAAGCGGACCUCAUAAAGUACGUCGUAGUCCGGAUUGGAGUCUGCAACUCGACUCCAUGAAGUCGGAAUCGCUAGUAAUCGUAGAUCAGAAUGCUACGGUGAAUACGUUCCCGGGCCU